rnacentral:rRNA from 1 species
AAUAUUGCACAAUGGAGGAAACUCUGAUGCAGCGACGCCGCGUGAAUGACGAAGGCCUUCGGGUCGUAAAAUUCUGUCCUUGGGGACGAUAAUGACGGUACCCAAGGAGGCAGCCCCGGCUAACUACGUGCCAGCAGCCGCGGUAAUACGUAGGGGUCGAGCGUUGUCCGGAAUUAUUGGGCGUAAAGGGUUCGCAGGCGGUCUUUUAAGUCAGAUGGUAAAUGCAUAGGCUCAACCUAUGAGUGCAUUUGAAACUGGAAGACUUGAGUUAAGGAGAGGAAAGUGGAAUUCCUAGUGUAGCGGUGAAAUGCGUAGAUAUUAGGAGGAAGACCAGUGGCGAAGGCGACUACCUGGACGAAAACUGACGCUGAGGCACGAAAGCGUGGGGAGCAAACA